rnacentral:rRNA from 1 species
CUGGCGGCGUGCCUAAUACAUGCAAGUCGAACGGUCUUUCUAUGGAAGCUUGCUUCCACUGAGAAGAUAGUGGCGAACGGGUGAGUAACACGUGGGUAACCUGCCCAUAAGAGGGGGAGUAACAUCCGGAAACGGGUGCUAAUACCGCAUAGUUUUCUUGAUCGCAUGAUCGGGAAAGGAAAGACGGCCUUUGUGCUGUCGCUUAUGGAUGAACCCGCGGCGUAUUAGUUAGUUGGUGAGGUAACGGCUCACCAAGACGAUGAUACGUAGCCGACCUGAGAGGGUGAUCGGCCACAUUGGGACUGAGACACGGCCCAAACUCCUACGGGAGGCAGCAGUAGGGAAUCUUCCGCAAUGGACGAAAGUCUGACGGAGCAACGCCGCGUGAGUGAAGAAAAGGGUUUUCGGAUCGUAAAACUCUGUUGUCAGAGAAGAACAAGUUGGAGAGUAACUGCUCCAGCCUUGACGGUAUCUGACCAGAAAGCCACGGCUAACUACGUGCCAGCCGCAGC